rnacentral:rRNA from 1 species
UGACAGUACUCCUACGGGGAGGCAGCAGUGGGGGAAUAUUGCACAAUGGGCGCAAGCCUGAUGCAGCCAUGCCGCGUGUGUGAAGAAGGCCUUCGGGUUGUAAAGCACUUUCAGUCGUGAGGAAGGUAGUGUAGUUAAUAGCUGCAUUAUUUGACGUUUAGCGACAGAAGAAGCACCGGCUAACUCCGUGCCAGCAGCCGCGGUAAUACGGAGGGUGCGAGCGUUAAUCGGAAUUACUGGGCGUAAAGCGCAUGCAGGUGGUUUGUUAAGUCAGAUGUGAAAGCCCGGGGCUCAACCUCGGAAUAGCAUUUGAAACUGGCAGACUAGAGUACUGUAGAGGGGGGUAGGAAUUUCAGGUGUAGCGGUGAAAUGCGUAGAGAUCUGAAGGAAUACCGGUGGCGAAGGCGGCCCCCUCGGACAGAUACUGACACUCAGAUGCGAAAGCGUGGGGAGCAAACAGGAUUAGAUACCCCUGGUAG